UAGUGAUGAUCCAAAUUAGCUUAUUGAUGAAAUUUUAGUACAGAGGUAAUGUAUUUGUGCUGUCCUUCAGACUUAAAUCUCCAUGGAUAAUAUGAAAUGUUCAUGCCUUUUUGAAAAUCAACUAUUAAAAAUAACAGUAGUCAUCUCUAGUUAUUGACAGUAAAAAAUCUUGGAAUUAGAGAAUUUUUGGAGGAUUUAGAAUUUUCAAGUUUGACAACUGUGCCCCCAGAGAAGCAGAAUAUCUUCAUCUCUGCAGUUUCUUCAUUUUGAAUCCUGAGGUUGUUCAGGAAUCCCUCUUACCCACAACUGGUGUAGCUCAGCAUCCUGAUCUCCAAGAGUGGUCUGGACCGGUGUAAGGGUAAUAUCACCCUCUUGCAAGGGACUGGGUUAGGAUCAUGUAUGUUCCCUAGUUCACCUCAGUGAGUUGCAAAGAUAGGUUUGUAGGAUGCUUCCAGAAAAGCUUUUCCAGGAGAACUUCCAGAAGAGAUUCACGCUCCCUCUGGACAUGAAUGAGCUUGGAUAUGAGGUGUGAAAUUGUUACCAUCCUUUUGAUGGCAACCUGUGUAUGAGGUCAGCACAUGGGGGAGGCCAAAAGAAUAGCCGAGAAAUGGAGCUAGAGUAAUGGGAUUAUGUCUGUCUGUCUUAAGUCUGUCCCACUUUUGGAUCUCAUGUGAGUUAAUAAACUUCCUUAUAGUUUAAAGCAAUUUUGAGUUGGGUUUUCUGUAACUUGCUAUGAAAGUUUUCUAUCUUGCACAGGUGGCAGAUACAGACAUGGUCUCUGACAUCUUAUGAUUAGUGAGGAAGGCAGAUAGUCAAAUGGGUAGUAUUAUACUUCAAGCAACAGAAAACUAGAUUAAAGUGACUAAUACAAAGGGGAUUGUUUUUCUCAUAUAAUAAACCCAUAGCAGAUGUACCUGUUUGAGAAUAUCAGCAAGGAACUAGGCUCCUUGCUUUCUGUGGGACUAGGGAUACCUAGUAUAUGACUUUUGUCUUUAUGGUUGUAGGAUGACUCUACCCUUAUGGACAUUGUGUGCACACAAAGAUGAAAAUAAAAGGGGCAAAGAGCCAAAGGAACAUGCCUGCUGAGUUUUUUUCUUUUGAAAAUCUUUGCCAGAGGCUCUACCCUGC
ensembl:lncRNA